UACGUAGGGCGCAAGCGUUGUCCGGAAUUAUUGGGCGUAAAGAGCUCGUAGGCGGCUUGUCACGUCGGGUGUGAAAGCCCGGGGCUUAACCCCGGGUCUGCAUUCGAUACGGGCUAGCUAGAGUGUGGUAGGGGAGAUCGGAAUUCCUGGUGUAGGGGUGAAAUGCGCAGAUAUCAGGAGGAACACCGGUGGCGAAGGCGGAUCUCUGGGCCAUUACUGACGCUGAGGAGCGAAAGCGUGGGGAGCGAACAGG
rnacentral:rRNA from 1 species